UCUUGGUCAUUUAGAGGAAGUAAAAGUCGUAACAAGGUCUCCGUUGGUGAACCAGCGGAGGGAUCAUUACCGAGUACUAUAACUCAUAACCCUUUGUGAACCUUCAUACCUGUUGCUUCGGCGGCGCGCCUCUCGGGGCGUGCCCGCCGGCAUUAUCAGAAUCUCUGUUCGAACCCGACGAUACUUCUGAGUGUUCUAAGCGAACUGUUAAAACUUUCAACAACGGAUCUCUUGGCUCCAGCAUCGAUGAAGAACGCAGCGAAACGCGAUAUGUAGUGUGAAUUGCAGAAUUCAGUGAAUCAUCGAAUCUUUGAACGCACAUGGCGUCUUCCAGUAUCCUGGGAGGCAUGCCUGUCCGAGCGUCGUUUCAACCCUCGAGCCCCCGUGGCCCGGCGUUGGGGACCUGUCCAGGCAGUCCCCGAAAACCAGUGGCGGACCCGACGGGCCCUUCCUUUGCGUAGUAACAUCUGCCUCGCAUCGGGAGCCCCCGGGCUAUCCGGCCUCUAAACCCCCCUCAAGCCCGCUCCGGCGGCACCAAGGUUGACCUCGGAUCAGGUAGGAAUACCCGCUGAACUUAAGCAUAUCAAUAAGCGGAGGAA
rnacentral:rRNA from 1 species